UUGCGUGAUGACAAAAGGCCAAUUGGCCUGAUCUAACCCAGCUCGUCGAAUGCCUCACCCAAAACAACGCUUAGAGUGCAUACUGAGAGAACGUCCUAUCUGAUUGC
rnacentral:snoRNA from 1 species